CUAAGUUUGAUGGCGACCGGCGCACGGGUGAGUAACACGUAUCCAACCUGCCGAUGACUCGGGGAUAGCCUUUCGAAAGAAAGAUUAAUACCCGAUGGCAUAGUUCUUCCGCAUGGUAGAACUAUUAAAGGAUUUCGGCCAUCGAUGGGGAUGCGUUCCAUUAGGUUGUUGGCGGGGUAACGGCCCACCAAGCCUUCGAUGGAUAGGGGUUCUGAGAGGAAGGUCCCCCACAUUGGAACUGAGACACGGUCCAAACUCCUACGGGAGGCAGCAUG
rnacentral:rRNA from 1 species